rnacentral:rRNA from 1 species
UACGUAGGGGGCUAGCGUUGUCCGGAUUUAUUGGGCGUAAAGAGCGUGUAGGCGGCCAGGUAGGUCUGGUGUGAAAACUCGAGGCUUAACCUCGAGAUGUCAUCGGAAACCAUCUGGCUAGAGUCCGGAAGAGGAGAGUGGAAUUCCUGGUGUAGCGGUGAAAUGCGCAGAUAUCAGGAAGAACACCGGUGGCGAAGGCGGCCCUCUGGACGGUGACUGACGCUGAGACGCGAAAGCGUGGGGAGCAAACAGG